rnacentral:misc_RNA from 1 species
GAUCUUCAACGCCUGAAUUUCAAGCUGGCGGUGAGAGAAUCAAGAUCCUGAUCUUCCCACCACGUACCGGCUGCUUCACCCCCACUCAUCUUCCCGAUUUUAUCCUAAGUCGACCAAUUUGAUCAUCAUUCUGAUGGCGAUAAUUUAUGCACUGGUGGCGAGGGGAUCGGUGGUUUUGGCUGAAUUUUCUGUAACUCCGACGAAUGCGAGCUCUAUUUCUCGCCAAAUACUCGAUAAAAUCCCCGGAAACGAUGAUUCUCAUGUUUCCUACUCGCAGGAUCGGUAUAUCUUUCACGUCAAGCGUACCGAUGGCCUUACGGUGCUCUGUAUGGCCGAUGACACUGCCGGAAGGAGGAUUCCUUUUGCAUUCCUUGAAGAUAUUCAUCAGAGAUUCGUAAGGACAUAUGGCCGUGCAGUUCAUUCAGCCAAUGCUUAUGGCAUGAACGAUGAGUUCUCAAGGGUUCUGAGUCAGCAAAUGGAAUACUACUCCAAUGACCCAAAUGCAGAUAGGAUCAACCGGCUGAAAGGUGAAAUGAGUCAGGUGCGA